rnacentral:rRNA from 1 species
UACAGAGGUCCCGAGCGUUGUUCGGAUUCACUGGGCGUAAGGGUGCGUAGGUGGUGGGGUAAGUCUCGUGUGAAAGCUCGCAGCUUAACUGCGAAAGUCACGGGAUACUAUUCCGCUGGAGGCUUGGAGGGGGACUGGAAUACUUGGUGUAGCAGUGAAAUGCGUAGAUAUCAAGUGGAACACCAGUGGCGAAGGCGAGUCCCUGGACAAGACCUGACACUGAGGCACGAAAGCCAGGGGAGCAAACAGG